rnacentral:rRNA from 1 species
UACGUAGGGGGCAAGCGUUGUCCGGAAUUAUUGGGCGUAAAGAGCUCGUAGGCGGUUUGUCGCGUCUGCCGUGAAAGUCCGGGGCUCAACUCCGGAUCUGCGGUGGGUACGGGCAGACUAGAGUGAUGUAGGGGAGACUGGAAUUCCUGGUGUAGCGGUGGAAUGCGCAGAUAUCAGGAGGAACACCGGUGGCGAAGGCGGGUCUCUGGGCCGAUACUGACGCUGAGGAGCGAAAGCGUGGGGAGCGAACAGG